rnacentral:rRNA from 1 species
GACGAACGCUGGCGGCGCGCCUAACACAUGCGAGUCGAACGAGCGAGAGAGAGCUUGCUUUCUUGAGCGAGUGGCGAACGGGUGAGUAACGCGUGAGGAACCUGCCUCAAAGAGGGGGACAACAGUUGGAAACGACUGCUAAUACCGCAUAAGCCCACGACCCGGCAUCGGGUUGAGGGAAAAGGAGCAAUCCGCUUUGAGAUGGCCUCGCGUCCGAUUAGCUAGUUGGUGAGGUAACGGCCCACCAAGGCGACGAUCGGUAGCCGGACUGAGAGGUUGAACCGCCACAUUGGGACUGAGGCACGGCCCAGACUCCUACGGGGGGGAGCAGUGGGGAAUAUUGCACAAUGGGGGAAACCCUGAUGCAGCGGCGCCGCGUGGAGGAAGAAGGUCUUCGGAUUGUAAACUCCUGUUGUUGAGGAAGAUAAUGACGGUACUCAACAAGGAAGUGACGGCUAACUACGUG